AAAAAAUAUAAUCUCAGACAAAUUUCACACAAAAUGCAAAACAAUAACUGCAAAAAGCCUCAUAUUAAUGUUGCCGUGGUGAUGAACACAAUUAACUCGUAUUAAUAACACGUAAUACUCCAUGUCUACUGACCCUAUGUUCUUAACAAGAUGCUAUAAUGUUCAAAAUAUUUGAACUUAAACUAGAGUUAGAAAAUUUAAAGUUUUAAAUGGAAUUUUUUUUACAGCAGGAGAAAGUGGGGAGAUCGUGACGAGUGCCAACGCUGAAGCUGAGGCUGAAGCCUUUAAUGGUUUCCUCACCGUCCUCCUGGAGGAGAUAAGGGACAAGAACAACCUGCCUCUGGGUAAGUAAAGAAAUUAACUUCCAAUGAAGAAACAGCAUUUGUAUUACACAUUUAAAGAUAAAUUGAUAAAGUGCACUAUAAUAAUGUAAGAAAACUUUUUUUUGUUAUAACAGCUAAAUAAAACCCCAACUGAUAUUGAUGUUACAGGUCAAUCAGCUCAGCAACGGAUUCCAUUAAUACUGGACUUAAUGCAUAGUUCUCCAUAUCUACUACUCAUAUAUCACUUCUUAAGCACUGAAUCCCUAAACAGAAACACUGUAAAAGAUUGUUGUAUUUAAUAGGCUUUUGUAAAUUAAAUGAAUUUUGAGUUCCUGUGGCAUUAAAUAACUCAUAGAUAUUUACCGGGAUGAAGCGGUUAUUAAUAUUAAUAUCAUCUCAUGAUGUUAGUAAUGUACCUGGAGAACUGCUGAUAUUAAAUUAAAAUAAAUUAAGAAUUGAAGUGAAACACUUGCUCAGCCUCAUUUAAUAGAAUCUAAAGUUUUCAUUGUGAAUAAUGUGACUUUUUUCAGAAGAAGUUGAGGCUGAAGCUCAAGAAAGAAAUCCAGAAGAGGCUGAAACAGAGAAUAGCACAUCUCUGGGUGAGUAGGAGCAAGCACUCACACUGAUAUACCUCUUUAACUGUAAAAUAAAUUUCACACAAUACCUCCAAAAAUAAACUACUCAAAUAAACACACACACAAACAAACAAACAAACAAAUAAGUACAUAAGUUAAUUAAUUGAUUAAAAGCUGAGGCUGCAGUACAGCUAGUGGACGGUAAACUGGAUGAAACUAUACGUAAUUUGUAAAAAUAUUUAUAAGUGAAAAUUGUAAUUAUGAAAAUGUUCAGUAAAGUAGAAAUAAUAAUAUUAUUUAUGAUUGUGACAUUAUACAUUAUUUCCGAAAGAUCAAGUAAACGGCAAUAAUACAGACGGGCCUGUUGAAAUCACUGGGAAUGGAAACGAGAAAAAGAAAAGGACCAGGAGAGGGACACGAGGCAAAGGAAGAAAGAUAAAUUACAAAAAGUUCCAGGACAACAAAGCAGCUGAGGCCAUAGAAAGACCACCAGAAGAUGCAGAAACAAUGAACAGCACACCUCUGGCUGAACAGAAUGGAGGGAGGAAAGAGCUGAUGGACGCCAAAGCAUCAAGAGACCAACAUAAAAGACAGACACAAAGAAAGCCACAGACACAGUCACAUGUCUGGACACACCGUGACAGAGCCUGCGAGUCAGGGUGGAGAGGACCUGCUCACUGGGACCGGAGAGACAGGAGAAUCCCGAGAAGAUCAACUCAAGACACACCAUCACAUGCUGGAGCCUGAUCUGUUGAACAGCACACACUCACACACACACACACACUCUAAACCCAAUGCACACACUAACACACAUAUACACACACAAAACCAAUGCACACAAACAUGCAUACACAGAAAACCCAAUGAACAAACAAACACACACAAACACACACACACAAAACACCCCCGCCAAGCCCCCAUCCUAACCU